UUACGGCCAUAUCAUGUUGAAACACCGAUUCUUGUACGAACACCGAAGUUAACCAACGCCGAGUUAGGUCAUUACCUAGAUGGGUGACCGCUUGGAAAUACCAGGUGCG